CGGGGGAAGGUCCAGGGAACCCGGGGGAAGGUCCGGGGCGCCCGGGGGAAGGUCCAGGGAACCCGGGGGAAGGUCCGGGCCGCCCGGGGCGAAGGUCCGUGGCUACUUCCCCUGACCCUCUAUAUCCUGGCCUCUGGCUCCAGCUUCGGGGCAGGCAGGAGGGGCUCCUCCAGGAGAUGUGGGGGCGACAGGGCCCGGUGGGGAAAGUAGUGCAUCUGUGCACUCAGAAACAACCAGCAUUUGUUCUAUGCCGCGUCUGAUCUAACCUUUGUCAAAAUAAAAACCUGUCUCAUCAACCCGCCGGAAUCGAGUGCACUCGGAACUGGGCUCCCGCGGCACCCGGCCUUCAAAUUCGCGGUCUUGUCAGGCUACUCGCAGGCUGGCCUGACCCCCGCCAUGCUUUCCCGGCCUAGGAGCCAGCCCGUCAGGAAGCGGCCGGCUGCGGGGGGGGCGGCCUUCUCCAUCCGUGGCUACCUCGGGGCCGGCGAGGAGGAAGUCCGAGCCCAUUGGCGCCCGACCACGUGCCAGCCUUGGGGAGGCAGAGAACACGCAUGCCCUGGCUCCGCAGGCCCACGGGAAUGUGGGCACGACCGUGACACGGGGCAGUAUCGCCAGGGCAGCCUUCGCAGGGGCGCGAGGCAAGGUAGAGAGUCACUAAAGGGAACCGAGGGCGGUCCCAUGCACGUGGCAAGUGUUCACGGGGCCCAUACCCCCGUAGUUUCAGUUCGGAGCAAGACUGGAAUCCAAUAGUCAGAAACUCUGGGUCAUCAACUGUUGGCACAACCCUAAAUCUCCUGGGCUUCUGUCUAUCCUAAAAUGUUAUACUUCCUUCGAAAGGUCAAUGAAAGGAGAUAAUAAGGCUCAAGUCUUUCUCCUUCAUAAAUUUUUGAUACCUUUUAUUAAAAAACAUAAGUGAAAUUUCUCCCUGUAUGUCCGUUUCCAACCUCAGGAAGCUAUCCCAUAUAACAAUAUUUUUAAAAGAAAAAAAAAAGCAAAACUGAUUGAAACAUCCCCAAAAAUCUGUGAUAUAUGUAAUGUACUCUUGGACCUCCCACCUCUCCAGAGGAAGAGGAGAGGGCUUUUAUUUCUUCUUUGAAAUCCCGUUGCUUCUGUGUAAUUUCCCAACAUUCACUUUCGCUUGCUUUGUGAUGGUUCUUUCUAUUUCAGAACUGUGCAUAAUUUCUUAGCAGCAUCAAAUUGUGUAAAUCCAUGCUUUAUAGUCAUCUCUUACACCAUAGUAGUAAAAUACCAUAACAUAUAUUUUAUUUAGCCACUCUCCAACUGAUUGACAUCAACUUUAUUUCCAAUGCUCAACUAUCACAAACUGUUGUUGAUAUUUUCAUGUAUAUGAAUCCUUUCUUCUCAUUAACAACUUGGGGUAUAAAUCUGUAAGUGGAAUCUCUAGGUCAGCGUACAGAGGCAUUUUAGCCAUCUUGUUUUGCAGAAUUCUGAAUUGCUUUCCAAAAUUGUACCGAUUCAUAGCUCCAAUAAUAAUAAUUAGAUGGAAUUUAUAUAGUUUAAUAUAGGAGCAGAGAUUGUAUUAAGUGUUUUACAAUUGUUAUUUAUCCUUCAAUUACCCUGGGAGGUGCUGCUGUUAUUCCCAUUUUACAAAAGAAACUGAAACACACAGAAAUGUCACUUUGCCCAGCGUCAUCAGCAAAUGUCUAAGGUAGGAUUUGAAUUCAAAUCCUGAUGUUUCCUCACCCAAGUAGACACGAUGUAUUAGUUUGUCUAUCUUCCUAUACAAACCCACCAACGUUGAAUAUUCCCAUCUUUUCAUCUCAGCCAAUUUGUAGGAUGUGAGGUAAAACCUUAGGAUUACUUUGACUAGAAACCUUUCAUACCUUUAAUAGUUUGUAAUUCUGGAGAACCAUUAACUCAUAUCUUGGGCAAUAAUUGCUUUUGGUUAUGUAUCUAUAUAUACAAAUAUGUAACAUCUGUGUCUACACAUACAUACACCAGCCAGGUAGUGCAGUAAAGUGCCAGGUCUGGAGUCAGCAAGCCCUAAAUUCAAAUCUGGCUUCAGACAUUUAGUUGCGUGAUCCUGGGCAAAUCACUUAACCUGGUCUGACUCAGUUUCCUCAUCUGUAAAAUGAUCUAGAGAAGAAAAUGGCACACCACUGCAGGAUCUUUGACAAAAAAACCCUCAAGUGGUCACAAAGACUCACACAUGACUCAUUAACAGAAACAUACAUAUUGCUGAAUACACACAAAUUAUUGGAUAUCAAAAACUCUAAUCUGGAAAACGACACAAAAGUUAAUUUCCUCUCCUUUUUAUCCUUUGUAAAUCACUUUGGUCAACAGAACCCUACAAGAAAUGUAGUUCAAGUUUUGUCAUUCCACUUCAGAGAUUAGAGAAAUAGUAUAGUCACAAGGCAAUUUGUCAGAAUGAGGAUUAUCAGACAGGUCUUCUCCAAGCCAUUAGUAAUUUUUCACUACACCAAGUUGUCAGUCACUUAGGCCAAAAGUUAAAUGAAUGGCUUUUAAAAAUGUAAUAAACAGUACCUCACAGAGAGUCCUGGGUUCAAAUUCCCCUCUAUGGGCAAUCACUUAAAACCUUGUGGGUCUCAGGAGGCAACACAGCACAGCACUGUGGUAAGCAAAGCACAUUGGCUUUUAUGUGGAUCUCCUUGAAUCCUGGCCCUGCCACUUGCUACUUGGGUGACACUGGGCAGAAGCCAGGUUAUGUAGUGCUGGGUUUGAAUCCUGCCAGUUAACCUUUCUUUUAAAUGAAGGGGCUGGACCUGAUCUCUAAAUUCCUUUCCAAUCCUCAAACCUACCAUUCUGUCAGUCUCUGAAGGGUGCAGCUCCUGGGGAUUGGCCUAGAUCAGAGAUUUUAACUUGGGGCGCAUAGAUCUUCAGGAUCUGUGAAUUUCAGCAAGGGAUACACCAAUUGGAAAAAUACUUUAUACCUUUAACAUAACUGGUUUCCUUGUAAUUUCAUAUAUUUGAUUUUAUGCAUUUAAAGCAUUCUGAGAAGGUAUCCAUAGGCUUUGCAGACUGCCAGGAAAUUGGAAUGAAUGACUUGAAAUAUCUUUUCACCCUACAAGGAGAACUUAGUCCUAGCUGCGUCUCCUAACAAAAUGUGGGGGUCAUGAAAUUAUGAUUUGUUAUCAGUAAAUGUUUGGUUUGUAUACCUAUUUUAUAUACCUAUACAUCUGGAACCACAUAAAAUUUCCUUGGGCAAAAAGGGGU